rnacentral:rRNA from 1 species
AGAGUUUGAUCCUGGCUCAGGACGAACGCUGGCGGCGUGCCUAAUACAUGCAAGUAGAACGCUGAAGAGAGGAGCUUGCUCUUCUUGGAUGAGUUGCGAACGGGUGAGUAACGCGUAGGUAACCUGCCUUGUAGCGGGGGAUAACUAUUGGAAACGAUAGCUAAUACCGCAUAACAAUGGAUGACACAUGUCAUUUAUUUGAAAGGGGCAAUUGCUCCACUACAAGAUGGACCUGCGUUGUAUUAGCUAGUAGGUGAGGUAAUGGCUCACCUAGGCGACGAUACAUAGCCGACCUGAGAGGGUGAUCGGCCACACUGGGACUGAGACACGGCCCAGACUCCUACGGGAGGCAGCAGUAGGGAAUCUUCGGCAAUGGGGGCAACCCUGACCGAGCAACGCCGCGUGAGUGAAGAAGGUUUUCGGAUCGUAAAGCUCUGUUGUAAGUCAAGAACGGGUGUGAGAGUGGAAAGUUCACACUGUGACGGUAGCUUACCAGAAAGGGACGGCUAACUACGUGCCAGCAGCCGCGGU